rnacentral:rRNA from 1 species
UGCCAGCAGCCGCGGUAAUACGGAGGGAGCGAGCGUUAAUCGGAAUUACUGGGCGUAAAGCGCGCGUAGGCGGCUUUGUAAGUCGGAUGUGAAAGCCCUGGGCUCAACCUGGGAAUGGCAUUCGAUACUGCAGAGCUAGAGUAUGGUAGAGGGAAGUGGAAUUUCCGGUGUAGCGGUGAAAUGCGUAGAUAUCGGAAGGAACACCGGUGGCGAAGGCAUCUCUCUGGGCCGAUAUUGACGCUGAGGCGCGAAGGCGUGGUAGCGAACGGGAUUAGAUA